rnacentral:rRNA from 1 species
AGAGUUUGAUCCUGGCUCAGGACGAACGCUGGCGGCGUGCUUAACACAUGCAAGUCGAACGAGGACACUGAGGAGCUUGCUCCAUGGUGCUCCGAGUGGCGGACGGGUGAGUAACGCGUGAACAAUCUAUCCCAGAGCGGGGAAUAACACGGUGAAAGUCGUGCUAAUACCGCAUAAGACCACAUCUUCGCAUGGAGAAGGGGUAAAAGGAGCAAUCCACUUUGGGGUGAGUUCGCGUCUGAUUAGCUAGUUGGUGAGGUAAUGGCCCACCAAGGCGACGAUCAGUAGCCGGCCUGAGAGGGCGAUCGGCCACACUGGAACUGAGAAACGGUCCAGACUCCUACGGGAGGCAGCAGUGGGGAAUAUUGGGCAAUGGGGGACCUGACCAGCACGCCGCGUGAGGGAAGAAGGCUUUCGGGUCGUAAACCUCUGUCCCAUGUGAAGAGAAGAGGACGGUAGCAUGGGAGGAAGCCCCGGCUAACUACGUGCCAGCAGCCGCGGUAAUACGUAGGGGGCGAGCGUUGUCCGGAAUGAUUGGGCGUAAAGGGCGCGUAGGCGGCUCUGUAAGUCUGGAGUGGAAGUCCCGCUUUCAAGGUGGGAAUUGCUUUGGAAACUGCGGAGCUUGAGUGUGGGAGAGGAAAGCGGAAUUCCCGGUGUAGCGGUGAAAUGCGUAGAGAUCGGGAGGAACACCAGUGGCGAAGGCGGCUUUCUGGACCAUAACUGACGCUGAUGCGCGAAAGCGUGGGGAGCAAACAGGAUUAGAUACCCUGGUAGUCCACGCUGUAAACGAUGAAUGCUAGGUGUAGGAGGUAUCGACCCCUUCUGUGCCGGAGUUAACACAAUAAGCAUUCCGCCUGGGGAGUACGGCCGCAAGGUUGAAACUCAAAGGAAUUGACGGGGGCCCGCACAAGCAGCGGAGCAUGUGGUUUAAUUCGAAGCAACGCGAAGAACCUUACCAGGUCUUGACAUCGAUGUAAACUCUAGGAGACUAGAGGUGUCUUCGGACAACAGAAGACAGGUGGUGCAUGGUUGUCGUCAGCUCGUGUCGUGAGAUGUUGGGUUAAGUCCCGCAACGAGCGCAACCCUUGUAUUCAGUUACUAACGCGUAGAGGCGAGGACUCUGGAUAGACCGCCGGGGACAACUCGGAGGAAGGUGGGGACGACGUCAAAUCAUCAUGCCCCUUAUGACCUGGGCUACACACGUGCUACAAUGGCCUCUACAAAGAGGAGCGAGACCGCAAGGUGGAGCAAAUCUCAUAAAAGAGGUCCCAGUUCGGAUUGAGGGCUGCAACCCGCCCUCAUGAAGUCGGAGUUGCUAGUAAUCGCGAAUCAGCAUGUCGCGGUGAAUACGUUCCCGGGCCUUGUACACACCGCCCGUCACACCAUGGGAGUUGGGAGCGCCCGAAGUCAGUGAGAUAACCGUAAGGAGUCAGCUGCCGAAGGUGAGACCGAUGACUGGGGUGAAGUCGUAACAAGGUAGCCGUA